GCAGAUGUAGCUCAGUAGGUUAGAGCGCCUGAUUGUGGAUCAGGAGGUCCCCCGUUCAAAUCGGGGCAUCUGUA
rnacentral:tRNA from 1 species